GAAGCUUCCCCGAUUCGCCACCGCUCCCCCAAACCCAAMUCGGCGACGCCGCCGGUCGGACGCUCGUAUCCUCGGAGGAGGAGGAAGAGGUGGCCUCCGGGUAGAAGCCGCGCGGAUUCGGUGCGGGGGCUCUGAGGCACCCCUCCCCCCCAUCCAUCCCGGGCGGGGGCCCGAGGGCUGACCACCGACCAACUGGCCGCGGCCCGCCGGCGCCACGCCGAGCCCCGCUCCGGACGACCGCGCCGACCGUACGCCGUACGCGCCCCCGCUCUGAGCUCGUCUCCCGCCCCCACUUCCUGUUAGCUUGUUUCGGUUCGUUUUGCCGUUCCGGAUCAGGAUACCUGUCUGUUGUUGUACCUACCGUAUGUGUCUCCGAUACGGUGGAUGGAUCAUGGCUGACACGACAGGCCGAGUGGUGAAGAACAGCCCUGCCUGGCCAUGCUUUGCUUGUUACCGGAUUCGUGUGCUUAGCUCCUCCAGUGGCACUGGCACUGUGCAAACUAACCGAUGUGUACCCUUCUGGGAGAUUGGACCACCAGCCUGUUAGGGUUUGAAGAUAGGCACUUACUAGUUCAUAAAUGUGCAUUAUCCUUGUUCCAGCAUGCUAAUAAUUUGCAUCAUGCUGUGUAUCUUCGUACUACUGCGUACUAAGGAAAACAUCUUUUGUUGCAGGCCAUACGGUUGUAGUAAAUCCUAGGCAGCUACUAAUCUGGAUUCUUGGAGAGAAAAGUAAGUAGUAAGUACGACCAUGCACUGUAUUUCGUUACAUGUAUGUAUGCAGUUACUGUCUUUGAAUAAUUGAAUUACUUAUCUGUCAGAGUUGCUUACUUUCUUUUCAUCGUUACAAAUAGAUUCCGGCAACGACCCAUCUCCCGCAGCACAGGCUGGGCUCACCACUUUGCUGUUAGGAAGGGGGGAGCAGAGUGAUUUGCUGUCUCAUUGUGAUUGUGGUCCGCUGAGUGAUGGCAGAUGCUAGCUCAAGGACUGACAACUCAACUGUUGUAGACAACGACGGCAAGAUCUAUAGGGUAAUCAUGCUUCUGAAUUUUGGGUUUUAACUGUCCCCCCUCUUCUUUAUCGAAAGAGGCUUUAAGCUGAACUCAACUAUGUAAGCACCUAUGUCUUUACCUGCACCAUUUUCUAGAGAUAAAAUAGAUAAUUGUUAUGCUCACACACCGUUUUAGCAUUUGAACUGUGAGUCCCGCUGUGAUUGGAAUUAAUUGUUAUAGCUUAACAGCAGAGUUGAUAAUCGUAAGUUAUAUAACACUACUGUGGCCUGAUCUGGUAAUUAGUAGGACUUGGAUUCUGGAGCCACAAGAACUGAAAAAAUAUACCGUCGAAGACAUCUUCGUAUUCUAUAACAGCAGUAAUGAAUUGUUAGUUAAAAAUAACUAUAUUACCCUAUGAUUCACAUGUUGUUCACUUGCUCAUAUGGAUCAGCUAUGAAGCACUGUUAUGUCGACACCCAUAUGGAAAUACGAGCAUGGGAACACCGGACAUGGCAAUUUCUAGAAACAGCAAUACGGCGAGUAUAUAUAUAAGUAAUUAAUUAAAUCACAUGUAAUAAAGGCAAAACAUAAUAGAAUGCAGGAGAUGAGAUCAAAAUACUGCCCCCCGUUGAUUGCCUCCAUGCCUCUUUCCAAGUCCUGAAUGAUCAUCAAUGUCUUCAAUCCACAUGGUG
rnacentral:lncRNA from 1 species